GCGGACGUGGUGAAAUUGGUAGACACACUGGAUUUAGGUUCCAGCGGCGCAAGCUGUAAGAGUUCGAGUCUCUUCGUCCGCACCA
rnacentral:tRNA from 282 species